rnacentral:ribozyme from 13 species
AGAGGUCACAGCCUCUUAAAAUAGACAUUAAGCUGUGAGCGUCUCCCGUAUUAACGGGAGGGUUGUA